AUUGAACGCUGGCGGCAGGCCUAACACAUGCAAGUCGAGCGGAGCGGCGGACGGGUGAGUAAUUCCUAGGAAUCUGCCUUGUAGUGGGGGAUAACGUCCGGAAAGGGGCGCUAAUACCGCAUACUUUUAGAUGAGCCUUGGUCGUGUUAGCUAGUUGGUGGGGUAAAGGCCUACCAAGGCGACGAUCCGUAACUGGUCUGAGAGGAUGAUCAGUCACACUGGAACUGAGACACGGUCCAGACUCCUACGGGAGGCAGCAGUGGGGAAUAUUGGACAAUGGGCGAAAGCCUGAUGCAGCCAUGCCGCGUGUGUGAAGAAGGUCUUCGGAUUGUAAAGCACUUUAAGUUGGGAGGCGUUACCAACAGAAUAAGCACCGGCUAACUUCGUGCCAGCAGCCGCGGUAAUUC
rnacentral:rRNA from 1 species